CAUCUUCACCAACUGUUCUGGGGCUGGAACAUUGAGAUUCUGAGAGGCAGCGGGUCUAUUGGAAUGCACAAGAGGCAGCCUGCCUGCCAUCUCCUCUUCUUUUCUUGGGCUGUGUUCCCAGAGAAGGCGAGAACCUUCUUCUUCAUGUCUCCUGGGUGGAACAUUUAAAUUCUCCCGGGAAACCCCACUAAUUCAAAACCCACUGAUUCAGAAUUUGUGAUCAUUUGAAUGGGGACUUGGAUGAACUUUCUCCUUGAACUAUAUAUGUGAUGGAAGGAGUUUUCUAAUCACAUAAAUAGAGGAAGAUUUUAAGAGUAAUGAUGGAUUUAAAAGCUACUUUUCAAAGGUUUUAGGAGAAAUCGGAAGCAUAGAAGAGAUCUGGGCUCAUUCAGCUCAAUCACAGACUGGGACACUGGUCUUCUCCUUCCUUUGGACUCAGACUCAGACUUAGACUGGAAUUUACAACAUCAACUCACCUGGGUUUCCAGCUUGCCAACUUCAGAUCUUGGACUUCUCAUCUUCUAUAAUCAUGAUCUGUUCCAGAAGGAACUGCUGGAUCAAAGCAUGUGCGAACUCUUAAGGCUUCUGAUACAUAUUGCCAAAUUACCACUCGAAGGACUUACCAGCAGUGAAUGGGAGAACCUCUUCCCCAGGGUCCUGACCCACCCAACCAUAAACACACAAUAAGGAAGUAAGGGGGAUGGGGGAGGGAUAUUAAUGUUUUAAUUUGUUCUUUUGUUUAUAAGUAAAGAAAAAUUUGUUUAUUCCUUAUGAUUAUUUGUAUUUUUUCUUUUAUAAAUACUCUUUGUUUAUUAUUCAAAUCAGCAUGCUCUUCUCCUUUUUGUUUGCAAGAAGAGAGAGAAACACUUAGAAGAUAGAAUCCCAUAUUUCGUUCCUCCUCUAUGGGCAGAGACAGGAGCUAAUAAGA
rnacentral:lncRNA from 1 species